rnacentral:rRNA from 1 species
CAGUCGCCGCGGGAAUACAGAGGGUGCAAGCGUUAAUCGGAUUUACUGGGCGUAAAGCGUGCGUAGGCGGCUAAUUGAGUCGGAUGUGAAAUCCCCGAGCUUAACUUGGGAAUUGCAUUCGAUACUGGUUAGCUAGAGUGUGGGAGAGGAUGGUAGAAUUCCAGGUGUAGCGGUGAAAUGCGUAGAGAUCUAGAGGAAUACCGAUGGCGAAGGCAGCCAUCUGGCCUAACACUGACGCUGAGGUACGAAAGCAUGGGGAGCAAACAGGAUUAGAUACCCCGGUAGUCCCUGUCUCUUAUAC